UGGAGAGUUUGAUCCUGGCUCAGGACGAACGCUGGCGGCAUGCCUAAUACAUGCAAGUCGAGCGGASUUGAWRRGAAGCUUGCUUCYYUGAURSUUAGCGGCGGACGGGUGAGUAACACGUAGGCAACCUGCCCUCAAGUUUGGGACAACUACCGGAAACGGUAGCUAAUACCGAAUARUUGUUUUCUUCGCCUGAAGRRRACUGGAAAGACGGAGCAAUCUGUCACUUGGGGAUGGGCCUGCGGCGCAUUAGCUAGUUGGUGAGGUAACGGCUCACCAAGGCGACGAUGCGUAGCCGACCUGAGAGGGUGAUCGGCCACACUGGGACUGAGACACGGCCCAGACUCCUACGGGAGGCAGCAGUAGGGAAUCUUCCGCAAUGGGCGAAAGCCUGACGGAGCAAUGCCGCGUGAGUGAUGAAGGUUUUCGGAUCGUAAAGCUCUGUUGCCAGGGAAGAACGCUUGGGAGAGUAACUGCUCUCAAGGUGACGGUACCUGAGAAGAAAGCCCCGGCUAACUACGUGCCAGCAGCCGCGGUA
rnacentral:rRNA from 1 species